UGUGUGUUGCUUUUUUAACUGUUCCUUUCCCCCCCUCCUCUCCUUUCUCUUUUUUUCUCUUUGAUUAUAUGUAUGAUACAUCCCCAUGUAUCAUGGACUGAGGACUUUGUAUUAUUAUAUACAUGGGAUAGAGAAUAGGGGAGAAGAGAUAAGGGUGAGUGAAAAGGUAGUCCAUAAGAACAUUGAUGCCAGUGAAGGAGACCCUUUUAUGCAAAAAAUCUGGACUGAAUAGGAAGAAUGCGACCGCGGCAUAGCAAAACCGAAAGUGGAAUGCAAGAACAUUGUGGGUGGAACGCAUAAUGGCAGCACCGGAAGUGACGCCAUACACCCUAGCGAGCACCAAUAUGGCGGCCACAAGUGGUGUACAAGGAGGGGAAAGCUCCCAAUUGGAUAAUUAUAACAAGGGGGUGUCCCUAAUUUGACUUCUUGGAACCAAAACUGAUUUAUAAACCGUGAAUACACAGGGAAGAC